rnacentral:tRNA from 1 species
GGGGAUAUAGCUCAGUUGGUAGAGUGCUUGCCUCCCAUACACAGGGCCCUGGGUUCAAUCCCCAGUAUAUAUA